UACGUAGGGGGCAAGCGUUGUCCGGAUUCAUUGGGCGUAAAGAGCGUGUAGGCGGCCAGGUAGGUCGGUUGUGAAAACUGGAGGCUCAACCUUCAGAGGUCGACCGAAACCAUCUGGCUAGAGUCCGGGAGAGGAGAGUGGAAUUCCUGGUGUAGCGGUGAAAUGCGCAGAUAUCAGGAGGAAUACCCAUAGCGAAGGCAGCUCGCUGGGACGGUACUGACGCUGAGGCGCGAAGGCGUGGGGAGCGAACAGG
rnacentral:rRNA from 1 species